rnacentral:rRNA from 1 species
AUUGAACGCUGGCGGCAUGCUUUACACAUGCAAGUCGGACGGCAGCACAGAGAAGCUUGCUUCUUGGGUGGCGAGUGGCGCACGGGUGAGUAACAUAUCGGAACGUACCGAGCAGUGGGGGAUAACUAAUCGAAAGAUUAGCUAAUACCGCAUAUCUUCUGAGGAAGAAAGCAGGGGACCAUUUGGCCUUGCGCUGUUUGAGCGGCCGAUAUCUGAUUAGCUAGUUGGUGGGGUAAAGGCCUACCAAGGCGACGAUCAGUAGCGGGUCUGAGAGGAUGAUCCGCCACACUGGGACUGAGACACGGCCCAGACUCCUACGGGAGGCAGCAGUGGGGAAUUUUGGACAAUGGGCGCAAGCCUGAUCCAGCCAUGCCGCGUGUCUGAAGAAGGCCUUCGGGUUGUAAAGGACUUUUGUCAGGGAAGAAAAGGGCGGGGUUAAUACCCCUGUCUGAUGACGGCACCUGAAGAAUAAGCACCGGCUAACUACGUG